GUCCCCGUAGCUCAACUGGAUAGAGUGUCGGCCUCCGAAGCCGAAGGUUGCUGGUUCGAAUCCAGCCGGGGAUAC
rnacentral:tRNA from 1 species